rnacentral:rRNA from 1 species
CCUACGGGGGACAGCAGUGAGGAAUAUUGGUCAAUGGGCUUACACCUGAACCAGCCAAGUCGCGUGAGGGAAGACUGCCCUAUGGGUUGUAAACCUCUUUUGUCAGGGAGCAAUUGGCGCUACGUGUAGCGUUAUCGAGAGUACCUGAAGAAAAAGCAUCGGCUAACUCCGUGCCAGCCGCCGCGGUAAUACGGAGGAUGCGAGCGUUAUCCGGAUUUAUUGGGUUUAACGGGUGCGUAGGCGGAAUGCCAAGUCAGCGGGAAAAUCGCGGGGCUCAACCUCGCUCCGCCGUUGAAACUGGCGUUCUUGAGUGGGCGAGAAGUAUGCGGAAUGCGUGGUGUAGCGGUGAAAUGCAUAGAUAUCACGCAGAACUCCGAUUGCGAAGGCAGCAUACCGGCGCCCAACUGACGCUGAAGCACGAAAGCGUGGGUAUCGAACAGGAUUAGAUACCCGGGUAGUC